UACGUAGGGGGCAAGCGUUGUCCGGACUUACUGGGCGUAAAGCGCGUGUAGGCGGCCCGGUAAGUCCGCUGUGAAAGUCGGGGGCUCAACCCUCGGAUGCCGGUGGAUACUGUCGGGCUCGAGUACGGAAGAGGCGAGUGGAAUUCCUGGUGUAGCGGUGAAAUGCGCAGAUAUCAGGAGGAACACCAAUUGCGAAGGCAGCUCGCUGGGACGUUACUGACGCUGAGACGCGAAAGCGUGGGGAGCAAACAGG
rnacentral:rRNA from 1 species